rnacentral:lncRNA from 1 species
AUCACCUGCAAGGGACUGAGGAUGGGGCCAUCCCUUGGCGGCCCCCGCUGUGCAGACGGAGGGUCCCCAGGCCAACCACUGGCCCCUCCCAGUGGGUCUGGGCAGUCCCGGAGUGGGUCCUGAAGUCCCGGAGAGCCAGAACGGCUUCCGGCAUGUGCGGACAGAGUGGGAUCAGAGGCUGGAUGCAGCUCCAGGCCUCUUCUUCAGCCCCCUCNUCUGUCCCGUUCCAAUCCCUUGCUAGGGCACAGCGCUCCAGGGAGCUGUAUGUGCAACUGCUUCCCCCCCCCAAAGCCCUCACCUUGGGGAAGGGUGGUCCCCCUGUGACCUCUGNCAGGUCUCCCAUGUGCUUGUUGCAGGUGGCAGAACCACUGGAAUGGUGCACUUUUCACUGCCUCACCUCCUGCAAGCAACAGCAGUCUCAGGCCGUCCACCUUCCUCCUGCUCGGCAUCCCAGGGCUGGAGGCUGCUCAACCGUGGCUUGCCACCCCCUGGGCACCAUGUACCUGCUGGCCGUGCUUCUGGCUGUCGUCGGGUCCGAGCCCUGUCUCCGGGAGCCCAUGUACCUCUUCCUAGCCCUCUGGCCGCCACUGACUUGCUCCUCUCCACGUCCACCCUGCCCCAGACGAUGGCCAUCUUCUGGCUGGGCCCCAGGGCCAUUGGCUUCCACUCCUGUCUGGCACAAAUGCUUUUCAUCCACGCCUUCUCCUGCAUGGAGUCCGGCAUCCUGGGGACUCUGGCUCUGGACUGCUACAUCGCCAUCUGUCUUCCCCUGCACCAUUNGGCCAUCUGGACAACUUCUGCCAUUGCCAAGAUGGCACUGGCAAUCCUUCUCCGGGGCGUGCUCCUCAUCUGCCCCUUUGUUCUCCUGCUGUGGGGCCUCCCCUUCUGUGGACACCAANUCAUCCAUCACACCUACUGUGAGCACAUGGCAGUGGUCAAGCUGGCCUGCACAGACACCACACCCAGCAGAGNGUACGGCCUGGCGGUGGCCCUCCUUGUGNUGGGCCUGGACACAGUGUGCNUUGNCGUCUCCUACGCCACNGUCCUCUGGGCAGUCUUCAGCCUCCCGUCUCGCCAGAAGCAACACAAGGCCCUCGGCACGUGCAGCUCCCACUGCGCCGUGAUGGUCAGCUUCUACCUGCUUCUCUUUUCUCAUG